UCUGGGGGGUGAGUUUGGGUCAUACAAAUUUUAGCAUUUUUGUAUAACCAAUCUCACUCUCUAGACCCAAUGUCAUCCCUGAUGACGGUACGAAAAACGCAAUAAACGCCCAAAACUCUGGAAUCGUCAGCUCUUUCCAUUCCUUUUCCUCAAUCUGCACUGCAUAGGCGUUAGUGUACAAUACACUGAAAGAAAGGCACAUAGUAAUGCCACAUGUUUUGCACAUGAAUCUGCCCCAUUCGACUUUGCAUGUGAAUGUCAUGUGUAAAUCACAUAGAAAUUUUUCAUUGCACCACGCAGUAAAUUCAAAUGAAAAACACGUUAAUUUCAUGUGACGAACCACAUGAAUUUGGAAAGCUUGUCUCAUAAAUGUUCAAUGAUUUUUUUGUGGAAAUCAAAUGGUUUUCUGGUGGUGUUCAGGUGUCUUUAACAAUUGAUGGAUUUUCUUUAAAUAAAUUUUUUACACGAAUUCAUUUUAAUAUAACGUUGAUUAUUAUUUUUUUUUAAAUAUUUGAGAUUCGCAAUGGACAUCAUGGACGGCCUACGGAUCGGCCAGCUGCCGGAUCGAGAAGUGCUCGGCUAACUUGAGAGCCCUCUCAAAGCAACUUGACCGUCGUGGUCCAGCAGGGACAAUGUAUGGUCCAAACUUGAGCCACUUGUGGUAGAUCCGCAUAACACCGUCGGAACCGAGCUUAGCUUGCAACCUUUUAAUCGGACUUGUAGUUAUUGAGCAGAUUCCGAAGAUGACCGCUAGCCGGAAUUUAGUUUUCUGAAAAAUAUUUUUGAUAUUUCGAAAAAUCUUACUGUUUCCUUUGUUUUUUUUCUUACCACCAGCGUCAAAACUCAAAUUCAAACCAAAAUAAUUAAAAGAACUCAGGAAAUUUGGUCCCUAAAUGAACACUCACUACGGAGAGCCAAUUUUGCUUAACCACCGUUCGUGGCCAUCUUACUUAUGAAGAAAUUUUCGCCAACCACAUUCAAAAACCAAAACAUUUCAAUCUAACGUGGUUUUCACGUCAAAAUCAAAUGGGGCAAAUCUAAGUGAAAUGCAUUUGAAUCUAAAGUGAACUUCAUGCGAAAAAAAGGGUGAAAGGUUUUUUGCUAACGAUCAGCUGAUAUCGAAUGAUUUUCACAUCAAUUUGACAUGAAAAAUAAUUGUGGGUCAAAGGAAAAUCAUGUGACCUUAUCGUGUUGAUUUUUUGAAACACUCACGUGAAAUAACACUUGAGAUUACUAUGUUGGAUUCUUUUAGUGUACGAUCUUGCGGGCCAUCUCCUCAGUGAACAAAAGUUUGAAACAGUCGGAAGCUGUUUGGGCAUUGGCACUUUAACUUAUUAGAGAAGGUUCACGAGGUGUUAUUCCUUCAAAACUUGGAGUAAGGCAUGACUAGCUCCAUCGCAAACCGUAAAUAGAGGACAAAACAGUCAGUAGAGCUCGACAAAUGAUGCCUCGUUAUAACGUUCUCCAGGCUGAAAAUUAGCGUGGUUCACGGUUAUAUGAAAAAGACAAAAGUGUUCAAUUUCGUUUGCAUCAACCGGAAUUUUAAAGCACUAUGACCCCAGAAGCUAGUCUGAAAAUUUGAGCUUAUUUGGUUAUGGUUUAGUUGCUCCAGUUUCGAUCUGAAGUUAGUAUGGAACGUUAAACAAAUUAAUAUUGGAGAAUUGUAACUAAAAAAAAUCCCAAAACCCUUUAAAAGUUUCUUAUAGGUUUUGAUCGGGGAACAACUUUGUAGAACAUCGCAAAGUGCUAGGAUUUGAUCCCAAAAAGAUUCAGGAUGUUUUUUGGAGUUUACUUUUUUCGGCUCAAAUUCAAAACAUGAUCAAAAAAUUAACCUGUAUCUUUCCGGGAUCCAUUCCUAGCGCUUUGCGAUGUUCUAAGCCAUCCUGCAUCGUAAUAAAACCAAUUUAGCUAAACCGGUUCGUCCAACCGGUUCAGUACCGGUAGUACAUUCAUAAGACAAAAGGUGACAUACGGCAUGUUUAACAUCUUCAAAUUUCAUAAAUAGUCAUUCUAUAUAAAAAAAAUAAUCCGAUUCAGCUUAACCGGUUCAGUAGUUGUACCGGUAAAACAUUCAUAGUACAAAAGGUGUCAUGCGAAUAUCUUCAAAUUUCAUAAAUAGUCAUUCUAAUCAAAUCUAAUCUAAUCUAAUCAGACCCUAGCGCAGCCAAUCUUUCGAAGGGAUCCUGGAGAGUGCCUUAGGUUAGAUGACGCCUAGCACUCUUCUUGUCAUUUAUUAACAUUUGUAGUGCGCCAUUGCAUUAGAAUGCAUUGAAACAUCACAAGCGUUAAAGCGGCCAGGCCUACUGCGUAAAGCCGUAUCGCAGAGAUGACUCGUAAUUGGGUUGAGCUUGAGCACUGAGUGUUCGAACAACAACACAAUUCUGAAUCGACAGGGGAGGAAGAAGCGUGGGGACAAACCACCAUACGCUCCGAGAUUUUGGUUGUAUUCGUUGGGAGCACCAUGCUAAGAAGGUUUGGUACUCCGGGACCCUCUGGGAUGGGACAUUGUAUUUCCACGAAUGCCCUGGACACUAUUUGCCGUGGUUAUAGCGCCACAACUCGCUCUCUGUAACAGUAUUCCUAAUUCCAAUUCACGCUCACCAAGUCGUCAUGGCCUAGUGGUUAGCAUUUUUGCUUACCAAUCCAAAGGACGGGGGAUCGAACCCCGCCUCGAGCGACUUAGAUUUUUCGUUCAUAUUCAUCAUUUUAAAUUUAUGUGUUCUUAACUUUCUCAUUGGGAGCAGAUGGGAAUCGAACCCAGAACCAUUCGCUUACAAAGCGAACACCGUAACCAGUCAGCCACGGCCGCUCCUCAAAUUUCAUAAAUAGUCAUUCUAUAUAAAAAAUAAACCGAUUCAGCUUAACCGGUUCAAUAGUUGUACCGGAAGAAAAUUCAUAGUACAAAAGGUGUCAUGCGACAUGUCUAGCAUUUCCAAAUUUCAUAAAUAGUCAUUCUGCAUCGAAAUAAAACCAAUUCGGCUAAACCGGUUCAACUAACAGGUUCAGCCCGGUCACGAGGAAUUCUAGCAGAGUUAGUUCUGCUAGAAUCCUGCUAGAAUAAUUCUAACAGACCUGUUAGAACUCUGUGAGAAUUUUGCCAGAAUAUUCUAGCAAAGCGAAAUCUGUUGGAAUUCUGUGAGAAUUUUGCUAGAAAAAUCUGACAGAGCGAAAUCUGUCAAAAAAUGCUUCAUUUCCGCUAAACAGCUUUGUAGCGAACUUGACUUCCGCCAAAAUAGUUUUGUCAUCGGACUUGUUUACACAAGUUCACAUUUUUCAUUUUUACUUUUAAGAAGAUGCCACAUCACCUAAUGUUGUCGGCUAUUUAGUUGACUUUUUGGCACCGAUUUGAGACGGCUUAUCCGAGAAAAAAACACGAUGCCAGCUCGGUGGUGCAGCACCAGAGUUAAACGGCCAGCGGCCGAAUGCUCCGCGGAAACAUUCCAGAAAGGUUGUCCAGAGAUCUCGCAUCGCCUGUCCCAGGGCCAUCCGCUCGUCAACGAUUGGAGUGAUCAUGGAGUGACCGUCUAAGAAGUGCCACAAAGUGAAAGUGUAGAAUUUAGAAAGUUAGUGUUUGUGUUCCAACUUCCAUUUAUUGUGAUUGCAAAAAUAUUUGUGAGAAUAAAUUCGAUUUUGAAAUUCGUUUUAUUUAGAAAAUUGCAAAUAAAAAUAUUUAACUAACUGCUUCUAGCUAAAUUCUAGCAGAAUUCUAGCAGAAAUUUCCUGCCAGUUCAUUCUAGCAGGAUUCUUACACAAUUCUAGCAGAAUGGGCUGUCAGUUCGUUCUAGCAGCAUUCUAGCAGGAUUCUUACAGAACCGGUUGAUUUCGCCGGCUCCUGCUAGAACCGGUUAUUGCAUUUGAGCUAGAAUUCUCAAAGAAUUCUUGAUAAAAUCUAGCAGGACUAUGGCAGCGUUCUAGUAAGAAUAUUUUCGCUCUGUAAGAUUUCUGUAAGAAUUCUGCGAGAACGCCGUGACUGGGAGUAAUUGUACCGGUAGAACAUACAUGGUACAAAAGGUGUCAUGCAGCAUCUCUACCCGGUCACGGAAAUUUCUAGCAGAGUUGGUUCUGCUAGAAUCCUGCUAGAAUCAUUCUAACAGGCCUGCUAGAUUUCUGUAAGAAUUUUGUGAGAACAUUCUGACAGAAGCAAAUCUGUCGAAAAUGAUGUCAUUUUCGCCAAACCACGUUGGGGCGAAUGUGGUUACCGCCAACCAUUUUGUAAUUUAACUUGUUCGAGCAAGUUUACUUUUUUGGGAAGUUGCCUCGGAAGAAGCAUAAUUUUGGAAUUUCAUCGGGACGAAUUCCCUUGAUAAAAGCUCAAAAUGUCCCCGAAACGCGGAAUCCAGAUCGCUGUUCACGGUGGCUGGGGACACAGCUCCCCGGAGAUGUAAUCGACGAAGACACGUGGAGCAUCCCAAGAAACAACCAAGUUCCAAAUGUUCCACCACGGAAUUUUCAUCCCCUCGAUAACUCCAAGUCGUUGUGUGCCCACAUCCCCGGAAUGUGGAGACAACACCUGCAGAAAAGAGAAUAAGCGUCCUGCUCAACUCCACCAGAAUAGUGAAAAAAUGUCCAAGUGAAAUAGUGAAAAGUGUGUGCAUGUUGUAAGAGUGAUUCGAAUGAAUAAACAUUUUUGCUAAUUUGUUUUACUCGCUAGACAAAAUCUAGCAAAAAUCCAAAACAAGUCUUUUCACUCAAAAAAACACCUAUCCGUUCUAAUCUAACACAAUUCUAGCAGGAUUCUAGCAGAAAAUUUUGCCGUCUCGUUCUAGCAAAAUUCUUACAGAAUUCUAGCAGGUUGGCCUGUCAGAAUACUCUAGCAGCAUUCUAGCAGGAUUCUUACACAACCGGUUGAUUUCGCCGUUCCUGCUAGAACCGGUUAUUGCAUUUGAGCUAGAAUUCUUUGAGAAUUCUUACAAAGAUCUGGCAGGAUGAUGGCAGUGUUCUAGUAAGAAUAUUUUCGCUCUGUUAGAAUUCUGUAAGAAUCCUGUGAGAACGCCGUGACUGGGUAGCAUCUUCAAACUUCAUAAAUUUUUAAAGUCGUUUUGAUUCAAAAUAUUUGUAAAGCAAUGAUGCAAUUUUUUUCAGUCUUCAAAGAAAAAAUUCAAUGCAGAUCAAUUGUUUUAUUUAACCGGUUCAAACACACUCAUGUUUCAAAUAUAUAAUACCAGUAUUUGACCAGGUGCUUCAAUUCAGUUUUUCUUUCAAAAUUGAUGGUGAUUAUGAGUUUUACAGUGAUUGCGAUGACGAUAAAAUUAACUCAGUUGUGUCAAUUGACCAAAUCCGAGUAGUUGAAGAGCAGUUCGAUCUAGACGACGAGUUUGGUGAAUAUGAAGCACAUUUCGAAGAAGUGCAAGAGAAGGAACUAGAAGAUGAACCAGAGGAAGUGCCAGAGGAUUUGCAGGGAAAAAUGUCUAAGGAGGUACCGGGGAGAGUGCCGGGUAAAGUAACGGGAAAAGUGACGGGAUAAGUACCGGGAAAGGUACAGAGAAAGGCGCCGCCAAGAGAAGUUCCUGACUCCGCGGAGGACUUCGAAGUCCGAAGAUGUUCCCGACCUUAUCGCCAAAAGUGGUAAGCAAAUGUAAAGAAUGCAACUUGACUGAUUUAUGCUCAGUAGGCUGGUUCACGGAUAUAGACAAAAG